rnacentral:rRNA from 1 species
GAUGAACGCUAGCGGCAGGCCUAAUACAUGCAAGUCGAACGGGAUCCAGAUCAAAGCUUGCUUUGGUCUGGUGAGAGUGGCGCACGGGUGCGUAACGCGUGAGCAACCUACCCUUGUCAGGGGGAUAGCCCGGCGAAAGUCGGAUUAAUACCGCAUGACAUCAUUGAGAGGCAUCUUUCGAUGAUCAAAGAUUUAUCGGACAAGGAUGGGCUCGCGUGACAUUAGCUAGUUGGUAAGGUAACGGCUUACCAAGGCUGCGAUGUCUAGGGGCUCUGAGAGGAGAAUCCCCCACACUGGUACUGAGACACGGACCAGACUCCUACGGGAGGCAGCAGUAAGGAAUAUUGGUCAAUGGACGGAAGUCUGAACCAGCCAUGCCGCGUGCAGGAGGACGGCCCUAUGGGUUGUAAACUGCUUUUAUACGGGAACAAACGUCGGUACGGGUACCGGUCUGAGUGUACCGUAAGAAUAAGGAUCGGCUAACUCCGUG